rnacentral:rRNA from 1 species
AGAGUUUGAUCCUGGCUCAGAACGAACGCUGGCGGCAGGCCUAACACAUGCAAGUCGAGCGCCCAGCAAUGGGAGCGGCAGACGGGUGAGUAACGCGUGGGAACCUUCCUGAUAGUACGGAAUAGCCCAGGGAAACUUGGAGUAAUACCGUAUACGCCCGUAAGGGGAAAGAUUUAUCGCUAUCAGAUGGGCCCGCGUAGGAUUAGCUAGUUGGUGAGGUAAUGGCUCACCAAGGCGACGAUCCUUAGCUGGUUUGAGAGAAUGACCAGCCACACUGGGACUGAGACACGGCCCAGACUCCUACGGGAGGCAGCAGUGGGGAAUCUUGGACAAUGGGCGCAAGCCUGAUCCAGCCAUGCCGCGUGAGUGACGAAGGUCUUCGGAUUGUAAAGCUCUUUUGCCAGGGACGAUAAUGACGGUACCUGGAGAAUAAGCCCCGGCUAACUUCGUGCCAGCAGCCGCGGUAAUACGAAGGGGGCUAGCGUUGUUCGGAAUUACUGGGCGUAAAGCGCACGUAGGCGGAUUUGUAAGUCAGGGGUGAAAUCCCGGGGC